UAGCCGUAAACGAUACUCGCUAGGUGUCGGCCACGGUGCGACCGUUGUCGGUGCCGUAGGGAAGCCGUGAAGCGAGCCACCUGGGAAGUACGGCCGCAAGGCUGAAACUUAAAGGAAUUGGCGGGGGAAGCACAACAACGGGUGGAGCUUGCGGUUUAAUUGGAUUCAACGCCGGAAAUCUUACCGGGACCGACAGCAACAUGAAGGCCAAGCUGAAGACUUUGCCGGAUUAGCUGAGAGGUGGUGCAUGGCGUAGUCGUGU
rnacentral:rRNA from 1 species